rnacentral:lncRNA from 1 species
GGAAGGAGCCAAGUAGUGAGCAGUCAGACUGAGUUUGCCUGUGCAGUAAAGCGUUUUUCCUUUUAUCUGUUUCGGCAGCCUGGAGUCUAUCUUCGGAGUAGCCCUUGAUCUAACUGGACCAGCCGAAGGUAAUUGACCAUUCUCUGAAAUCAGUGCCCUAAUGAACCUGUGUCCUGGUGUGUUCUCUGUCUCCUCCCACCAGAAAUGGUACACAUCACCCUUUCCAUGGACAGAUGUGGAGAAUCAGAAUGAUCUGGGAGAGAGAUGCAAAACCCCCUUGCAGUUUUGAAUAGCCAGCAUUCCACCCAUGAGGAGCAUCUACAGAAGCACAAGCAAGGACCCACCUGAAGUUCAAGGAAGUUCAAGGCAAUGUGAACCUGCAGCUGCAAGUAAAACGGAAUUGGUUGAGGAGCAUCUGGGAAGCUCAGCCUGUUAAGUAUCCAACUCUUGAUUUCAGAUUAGGUCAUGAUCCCAGGAUCGUGAGAUUGAGCCUGGCAUUGGGCUCUGCCCUGGGUGUGGAGUCUGCUUGAGGUUCUCUCUCUCUCAGGCACCUGGGUGGCUGAGUUGGUUAAGCGUCUGCCUUUGGCUCAGGUCAUGAUCCCAGGGUCCUGGGAUGGAGCCCCACAUCAGACUCCUCAGUCCACGGGGAGCCUGCUUCUCCUUCUGCUUGUGCUCAUUCUCUCUCUCUCUCUCUCUCUCUCUCUCUAGUAAAUAAGUAAAAUCUUCAAAAGAAACAAAGAUUUUCUCCCUCUCUCUGCCCCUCUUCCUCCCUAAAAUAAAUAAAUAAAUAAAUAAAUAAAUAAAUAAAUA